rnacentral:rRNA from 1 species
UCAAGUGAAUAAGUGCAUCAGGUGGAUGCCUUGGCGAUGAUAGGCGACGAAGGACGUGUAAGCCUGCGAAAAGCGUGGGGGAGCUGGCAAUAAAGCUAUGAUCCCGCGAUGUCCGAAUGGGGAAACCCACCUCUUAGGAGGUAUCCUUAUCUGAAUACAUAGGAUAAGCGAAGCGAACCCGGAGAACUGAACCAUCUAAGUACCCGGAGGAAAAGAAAUCAACCGAGAUUCCGCAAGUAGUGGCGAGCGAACGCGGAGGAGCCUGUACGUGAUAACUGUCGAGAUAGAAGAACAAGCUGGGAAGCUUGACCAUAGUGGGUGAUAGUCCCGUAUUCGAAAUCUCAAUAGUGGUACUAAGCGUACGAAAAGUAGGGCGGGACACGUGAAAUCCUGUCUGAAUAUGGGGGGACCAUCCUCCAAGGCUAAAUACUCAUCAUCGACCGAUAGUGAACCAGUACCGUGAGGGAAAGGCGAAAAGAACCCCGGGAGGGGAGUGAAAUAGAACCUGAAACCUGAUGCAUACAAACAGUGGGAGCACCCUUGUGGUGUGACUGCGUACCUUUUGUAUAAUGGGUCAACGACUUACAUUCAGUAGCGAGCUUAACCGAAUAGGGGAGGCGUAGGGAAACCGAGUCUUAAUAGGGCGAACAGUUGCUGGGUGUAGACCCGAAACCGAGUGAUCUAUCCAUGGCCAGGUUGAAGGUGCCGUAACAGGUACUGGAGGACCGAACCCACGCAUGUUGCAAAAUGCGGGGAUGAGCUGUGGAUAGGGGUGAAAGGCUAAACAAACUCGGAGAUAGCUGGUUCUCCCCGAAAACUAUUUAGGUAGUGCCUCGAGCAAGACACUGAUGGGGGUAAAGCACUGUUAUGGCUAGGGGGUUAUUGCAACUUACCAACCCAUGGCAAACUAAGAAUACCAUCAAGUGGUUCCUCGGGAGACAGACAGCGGGUGCUAACGUCCGUUGUCAAGAGGGAAACAACCCAGACCGCCAGCUAAGGUCCCAAAUGAUAGAUUAAGUGGUAAACGAAGUGGGAAGGCCCAGACAGCCAGGAUGUUGGCUUAGAAGCAGCCAUCAUUUAAAGAAAGCGUAAUAGCUCACUGGUCGAGUCGUCCUGCGCGGAAGAUGUAACGGGGCUCAAAUCUAUAACCGAAGCUGCGGAUGCCAGUUUACUGGCAUGGUAGGGGAGCGUUCUGUAGGCCGAUGAAGGUGCAUUGUAAAGUGUGCUGGAGGUAUCAGAAGUGCGAAUGUUGACAUGAGUAGCGAUAAAGCGGGUGAAAAGCCCGCUCGCCGAAAGCCCAAGGUUUCCUACGCAACGUUCAUCGGCGUAGGGUGAGUCGGCCCCUAAGGCGAGGCAGAAAUGCGUAGUCGAUGGGAAACAGGUUAAUAUUCCUGUACUUGAUUCAAAUGCGAUGUGGGGACGGAGAAGGUUAGGUUAGCAAGCUGUUGGAAUAGCUUGUUUAAGCCGGUAGGUGGAAGACUUAGGCAAAUCCGGGUCUUCUUAACACCGAGAAGUGAUGACGAGUGUCUACGGACAUGAAGUAACCGAUACCACGCUUCCAGGAAAAGCCACUAAGCUUCAGUUUGAAUCGAACCGUACCGCAAACCGACACAGGUGGGCAGGAUGAGAAUUCUAAGGCGCUUGAGAGAACUCAGGAGAAGGAACUCGGCAAAUUGAUACCGUAACUUCGGGAGAAGGUAUGCCCUCUAAGGUUAAGGACUUGCUCCGUAAGCCCUGGAGGGUCGCAGAGAAUAGGUGGCUGCGACUGUUUAUUAAAAACACAGCACUCUGCUAACACGAAAGUGGACGUAUAGGGUGUGACGCCUGCCCGGUGCUGGAAGGUUAAUUGAAGAUGUGCAAGCAUCGGAUCGAAGCCCCAGUAAACGGCGGCCGUAACUAUAACGGUCCUAAGGUAGCGAAAUUCCUUGUCGGGU